CAGUGGCGAAGGCGGCUUGCUGGGCUUUUACUGACGCUGAGGCUCGAAAGCGUGGGUAGCAAACAGGAUUAGAUACCCUGGUAGUCCACGCUGUAAACGAUGAUUACUAGGUGUGGGGGGACUGACCCCUUCCGUGCCGGAGUUAACACAAUAAGUAAUCCACCUGGGGAGUACGACCGCAAGGUUGAAACUCAAAGGAAUUGACGGGGGCCCGCACAAGCAGUGGAGUAUGUGGAUUAAUUCGAAGCAACGCGAAGAACCUUACCAGGUCUUGACAUCCUAUGAAUCCCUCAGAGACGAGGGAGUGCCCUUCGGGGAGCAUAGAGACAGGUGGUGCAUGGUUGUCGUCAGCUCGUGUCGUGAGAUGUUGGGUUAAGUCCCGCAACGAGCGCAACCCUUAUCAUUAGUUGCUACGCAAGAGCACUCUAAUGAGACUGCCGUUGACAAAACGGAGGAAGGUGGGGAUGACGUCAAAUCAUCAUGCCCCUUAUGACCUGGGCCUCACACGUACUACAAUGGCUAUUAACAAAGGGAAGCUAAGCCGCGAGGUGGAGCAAAUCCCCAAAAAUAGUCUCAGUUCGGAUUGCAGGCUGAAACUCGCCUGCAUGAAGUCGGAAUUGCUAGUAAUCGUAGGUCAGCAUACUACGGUGAAUACGUUCCCGGGCCUUGUACACACCGCCCGUCACACCAUGAGAGUUGGCAACACCCGAAGUCAGUAGCUUAACCGUAAGGAGAGCGCUGCCGAAGGUGGGGUUGAUGAUUGGGGUGAAGCCGUAACAAGGUAACCGUA
rnacentral:rRNA from 1 species